AAAUAUUACCUUAUGAUUCCGUCACAUUUUAGAAAAUAUGAUAGUUAUAAUACUACUAUGUAUUACAAAUGCACCAGGCCAUCAUGUGCAGGGAAAUGGAUAUUUAAAAAUAAUACCUUCCAAAAAUCUAAACAGUGUACAGCUCCUGCCUGCUUAGAAAUAACACAAGUUAAAUCUAUAGCCACACAAACUGAUCCCAUAAAUGUAGAUAGUAUAUCAGUAGCCACUCAAA